UACGAAGGGGGCUAGCGUUGCUCGGAAUCACUGGGCGUAAAGCGCACGUAGGCGGCUUUUUAAGUCAGGGGUGAAAUCCUGGAGCUCAACUCCAGAACUGCCUUUGAUACUGGGAAGCUCGAGUCCGGGAGAGGUGAGUGGAACUCCGAGUGUAGAGGUGAAAUUCGUAGAUAUUCGGAAGGACACCAGUGGCGAAGGCGGCUCACUGGCCCGGUACUGACGCUGAGGUGCGAAAGCGUGGGGAGCAAACAGG
rnacentral:rRNA from 1 species